CAUUCAUACGACAAUCCUAUUAGGAACAUAACUCGAAAUUACGGCUAAGAUUCUUGAAAACUGGUUUUGAGAAACUUACUUUUUUACUUACAACUGGUUAAAAACUGGUGUUGAAAACCACGGCCUUAGUUUGACCCUUUUUACAUGCGAAAGGUGAACCACUUUUGCCCAAAAUCUUUAGUACUUGAAUAAAAAUUUUAUCAUCCAUCUUCUAGAUUAGCUUAUUUAUAAUUUAUACUAAUUUGUAAAAUUAAUUUUUUGGUGAAUAAUGCAUGAAACUAAUCAUGACUCUGAUAAAAUUACAAUAAAAAUAAGGCAUUCGGAUGAGGAUUAUCAUGACAUUACGAUUGAUUGGUCAAAUGAAAGUUUCGAUUACAGGAAACAAUUGUUUCAUCAGUUAGCAGCAUACACAGGAAUACCAGUUGAACAUCAAGAGUGUGUUGAUGUACAGCACGCAUCAAAUCGCAGUGGUGAUCUGCUAAAUACCGAAUUCAAGGAUGGAAUUUUUAAUGAGGUCUGGGAUUGGGAAUACGACUCAAAGGAACUCGCAAUGAAUGCUUUCCAUGAUGGCGACUGUUUUCUAUUUAGAACGAGAAUUUUUACAGCUGAGUUUGGAUUGUUUUGUAGAUAUACAUUGCAGCAUCAGAGUCUGGUUAAUGGAACUGGAUGCGAACGAUAUUAUUGCCAUUACCUGGCUCGUCGAUCUUUCACAAAAAGAGUAUCAGAGUUGCUGAAAUCAGAUGAAUUGCGAAAAAUUUGUGAUGAAAAUGGCUUACGAGUUCGCGAACAACCAGAUGAAUUUAGAAGAAUGAACCUCAAUUUGAAUAUUGCACAUCUUACAGAGCCAGUGUGCACUGCGAAGAUCUCAGCUUGGCCUGAUAUAUAUCGGUUUGAUGCUAACCAUAUGUACUUACGUUACCGUGGCUAACUUGAAUCUCUGUCAAUUGUCGAUAAAAAAGUUUUACUUUCAAUUUAAUCUGCUCCUCGAGUAAACUGAAUCGGAAGAGAACAAACCGGAACAGCCCAAAGGUCACAAAGCAAACUUUUUUCAUAGGGAACCGCUAAAUAUACUUGCAGCCCUAAUAUUUCAAAGUAAAGGUAUUGAGAGUCACCUAGGUUACAUUCAUAUGACAACCCUAUUAGGACCAUAACUCGAAAUCACGGUUACAAUAAAAGUGAGACAUUCAGAUGAGGAUUAUCAUGAGAUUACGAUUGAUUGGUCAAAUGAAAGUUUCGAUUACAGGAAACAAUUGUUCCAUCAGUUAUCAGCAUACACAGGAAUACCAGUUGAACAUCAAGAGUAUGUUGGAGUGGAGCACGGAUCAAAUCGCAGUGGUGGUCUGACAAAUACCGAAUUCAAGGAUGGACGUUACAAUGCGGGCUAUGAUUGGCAAUAUUGGCAAUACGAGAGCAAGGAACGCACAAGGAAUACUUUCCAAGAUGGCGAUUGUUUUCUAUUCAGAACGAGAAUUUUUGCAGAUGGUUCUGGAUUGAUUUGUAGAUAUGAAUUGAGUCAUCAGAGUUUGGUUAAUGCAGCUGAAUGUAACAGACAUUAUUGUCAUUACCUGGGUCGUCGAUAUUUUACGAAAAAAUUUGCAGUGUAUAUAAAAUCAAAUGAAUUGCAAACAAUCUCAAGUCAGCGAGUACAAAGCCUGGAGGAAUUGCAUAGAGUGCAACUCAGUUUGAAUAUUGUACAUAUUAUGGAGCCAGUGUGCACUGGGCGGAUCUUAGCGUGGCCUGAUCAUUUUCCGUUUCAUGUUAACCAAAUGUACUUACGUUACCGUGGCUAACUUGAGUCUCUGUCGAUUGUUGAUAAAAAAGUUUUUCUUUCAAUUUAUUCAAAUGUUUUCAUCUAAUAAAAACAUU